rnacentral:tRNA from 1 species
AUUUAUAUAGUUUAAAUAAAACACUGCAUUUUCAUUGCAAAAUUGGGGCCACCUUGUAAAUA